rnacentral:rRNA from 1 species
CCUGGGAACUGCGUUNUGAACUGGGUGACUAGAGUGUGUCAGAGGGAGGUAGAAUUCCACGUGUAGCAGUGAAAUGCGUAGAGAUGUGGAGGAAUACCGAUGGCGAAGGCAGCCUCCUGGGAUAACACUGACGUUCAUGCCCGAAAGCGUGGGUAGCAANCAGGAUUAGAUACCCUGGUAGUNCACGCCCUAAACGAUGUCGAUUAGCUGUUGGGCAGCAUGACUGCUUAGUAGCGAAGCUAACGCGUGGAAUCGACCGCCUGGGGAGUACGGUCGCAAGAUUAAAACUCAAAGGAAUUGACGGGGACCCGCACAAGCGGUGGAUGAUGUGGAUUAAUUCGAUGCAACGCGAAGAACCUUACCUGGUCUUGACAUGUGCGGAACCCUCCAGAGACGGAGGGGUGCCUUCGGGAGCCGUAACACAGGUGCUGCAUGGCUGUCGUCAGCUCGUGUCGUGAGAUGUUGGGUUAAGUCCCGCAACGAGCGCAACCCUUGUCAUUAGUUGCCAUCAUUAAGUUGGGCACUCUAAUGAGACUGCCGGUGACAAGCCGGAGGAAGGUGGGGAUGACGUCAAGUCCUCAUGGCCCUUAUGACCAGGGCUUCACACGUCAUACAAUGGUCGGUACAGAGGGUAGCCAAGCCGCGAGGUGGAGCCAAUCUCACAAAACCGAUCGUAGUCCGGAUUGCACUCUGCAACUCGAGUGCAUGAAGUCGGAAUCGCUAGUAAUCGCAGGUCAGCAUACUGCGGUGAAUACGUUCCCGGGUCUUGUACACACCGCCCGUCACACCAUGGGAGUGGGGGAUACCAGAAGUAGGUAGGGUAACCGCAAGGAGCCCGCUUACCACG